rnacentral:rRNA from 1 species
CUGGUUGAUCCUGCCAGACCCGACUGCUAUCGGAUUGGGACUAAGCCAUGCGAGUCAACUCCGCAAGGGGUGGCGCACGGCUCAGUAACACGUAGUCAACCUACCAUGGGGACGGGGAUAACCUCGGGAAACUGAGGCUAAACCCCGAUGGGCCAUGGCUCCUGGAAUGGGCUAUGGCUGAAAUCUACAUGGCCCCAGGAUGGGACUGCGGCCGAUCAGGUUGUUGGUGGGGUAAUGGCCCACCAAGCCUAUAACCGGUGCGGGCUCUGAGAGGAGGAGCCCGGAGAUGGGCACUGAGACAAGGGCCCAGGUCCUAUGGGGCGCAGCAGGCGCGAAACCUCCGCAAUAGGCGAAAGCCCGACGGGGUCAGUCCGAGUGGUUCCCGCUGAGGGAACCUUUUGCCAGCUGUAAACAGGCUGGCGAAUAAGGGGUGGGCAAGUUUGGUGUCAGCCGCCGCGGUAAUACCAGCACCCCGAGUGGUCGGGACGAUUAUUGGGCCUAAAGCAUCCGUAGCCGGCCCAGUAAGUCCUCCGUUAAAUCCAACGGCUCAACCGUUGGGCUGCGGGGGAUACUGCUGGGCUAGGGGACGGGAGAGGCGAGGGGUAUUCCCGGGGUAGGGGUAAAAUCCACUGAUCCCGGGAGGACCACCAGUGGCGAAGGCGCCUCGCUAGAACGUGCCCGACGGUGAGGGAUGAAAGCUGGGGGAGCGAACCGGAUUAGAUACCCGGGUAGUCCCAGCCGUAAACGAUGUAGGCUCGGUGUUGGGCUGCCUCAGUGGCAGCCCAGUGCCGCAGGGAAGCCGUUAAGCCUACCGCCUGGGGAGUACGGCCGCAAGGCUGAAACUUAAAGGAAUUGGCGGGGGAGCACCAC